UUAUAGCCCCGAUUGAAGUGGAAAUCCUUUUUUGUCACAUUGAGCGGAGUCGAAAUGUGAACAAAAAAGGUUACAGCGGAAAUCGGGACUGAAG
rnacentral:sRNA from 1 species